rnacentral:rRNA from 1 species
GAGAGUUUGAUCCUGGCUCAGGACGAACGCUGGCGGCGUGCUUAACACAUGCAAGUCGAGCGAUGAAGUUUCCUUCGGGAAACGGAUUAGCGGCGGACGGGUGAGUAACACGUGGGUAACCUGCCUCGUAGAGGGGAAUAGCCUUCCGAAAGGAAGAUUAAUACCGCAUAAGAUUGUAAUGCCGCAUGGCAUAGCAAUUAAAGGAGCAAUCCGCUAUGAGAUGGACCCGCGUCGCAUUAGCUAGUUGGUGAGGUAACGGCUCACCAAGGCGACGAUGCGUAGCCGACCUGAGAGGGUGAUCGGCCACAUUGGGACUGAGACACGGCCCAGACUCCUACGGGAGGCAGCAGUGGGGAAUAUUGCACAAUGGGGGAAACCCUGAUGCAGCAACGCCGCGUGAGUGAUGACGGUCUUCGGAUUGUAAAGCUCUGUCUUUAGGGACGAUAAUGACGGUACCUGAGGAGGAAGCCACGGCUAA